rnacentral:lncRNA from 1 species
CUGUUCUAGAACCUGAUUUUUGAUGCAACUUACUUUAUGAUACUAUUUCCUUUACAGGUCCCUUUCUAGAGAUAGAAGGAGAGAGAGAUCACUCUCAAGGGAGAGAAAUCAUAAGCCUUCCCGUUCAUUUUCCAGAUCUCGUAGCCGUUCCAGGUCAAAUGACAGGAAAUAGAACUUCAGGAAGAAUGGUGUACAGGAAGUCACAUUUUGGUCUGAAGACAAACUACCCUCUCAGACAUUUUAUUGCUGACGAAUGGAUUAUUCAUAUGGUCACCCUGCAAUAAACAAAAGGAGAGGAAUGAAACUGGCAUUUCACUUGGGGUUCCAGGUUGACUGGUUUGCCAACUUGUCUCCACCCUGAUUACAGAAUGAUUGAACAAUCUGGUGAGGUCAUUAAUGUACAGAACCAGCCUCCUGUUCAAAUGACCAUUUGACAUUUGUUCCUAAUUGUUUGUUUUAAUAGAUUGAACCUCAACACUUAGAAUAGUUUAUCUUGUUUCUGCUGGCUUUUGUGAAGACUGACAGUGACACUCUCUCACCUUUCUAAACUAAUAGGGAUAUGACCUCAGGGUUUUUCCCCCCUAUUGUUAAUAUUCAGACAUUUGACUAACACAUGUAAGCACAAUCCUAAAGAUCCAUUAAUCUGGAAGUUGGCUAGUGGCCUAAACCAUGUUCAUGCUGCAUACUGAAUCCAUGGUUUGCUUAACUGAAUAAAUCUCAGUUGGCUGGAUUCACCCAGUACACUAAGCCAUUAACAAGGAAAUUGAUUUUCCAAAACUGGAAGUUCAUUUUUGAGAAAAUAGCCUAUAUAGAACCUCCUGUACCCUGAAACUGUUUAUUACCAGGGGACAAUAGAAAUAACAAAAAUAACAACCUUGACUAAAUUCAAAUACACAAAAGUAUACCAAACCAUUUGACUAUUCAGAACCUCUGCUCAUAU